rnacentral:lncRNA from 1 species
AUUUCCCUAUCCUGUUCCAUGGAGCCAUGACCUAAUCCAGCUUCAACUCCUGUCUCCAAAAACGCAUCCUUCAGCGGCCAAAGAAGGCAGACAAGGAAGCGGGGGACGUAACUGAAUAAGCUCCCAGUUGACAAGAAUCAGGAAAACAGCAGUGACUAUUUUAGAAGCAUGAAGUGCUCGGUGUGGAGAUGGGCUCCCUACCACCCACCAAACCUGCCCCCUACCCCCCAUGCUACAGGACGCAGAGCGGAAUCUGGACUCCUGAUGGAAUGAGACCAGCGUACGAGCUUUGUAACUUUCCUGAUAAAUGAGUAGCUUGGGCUUUCAAA